rnacentral:rRNA from 1 species
GACGAACGCUGGCGGCGUGCUUAACACAUGCAAGUCGAACGGAAAGGCCCUGCUUUUGUGGGGUGCUCGAGUGGCGAACGGGUGAGUAACAUGUGAGUAACCUGCCCUUGACUUUGGGAUAACUUCAGGAAACUGGGGCUAAUACCGGAUAGGAGCUCCUGCUGCAUGGUGGGGGUUGGAAAGUUUCGGCGGUUGGGGAUGGACUCGCGGCUUAUCAGCUUGUUGGUGGGGUAGUGGCUUACCAAGGCUUUGACGGGUAGCCGGCCUGAGAGGGUGACCGGCCACAUUGGGACUGAGAGACGGCCCAGACUCCUACGGGAGGCAGCAGUGGGGAAUAUUGCACAAUGGGCGGAAGCCUGAUGCAGCAACGCCGCGUGCGGGAUGAAGGCCUUCGGGUUGUAAACCGCUUUCGCCUGUGACGAAGCGUGAGUGACGGUAAUGGGUAAAGAAGCACCGGCUAACUACGUG